GAAAGAGGAACUUCGACUAACUUCGCUUACGUCCUGUAAGCAACGUCGAAGUCACCACAUCCUGUGGA
rnacentral:sRNA from 1 species